rnacentral:pre_miRNA from 1 species
CAAGGCAACCAGGUGCCCCUAAUUGCCAGGGAGUGAGCAUGAGCUUGUGUCAAGCCCACCUGUGCCCAAUUAGGGUGGGCCCCCACUGCGCAUGAGCAGGACCAGGGGGACAAUAAAAGGGCAGGGGGGACCCACCCUAAUUGGGCACAGGUGGGCUUGACACAAGCUCAUGCUCACUCCCUGGCAAUUAGGGGCACCUGGUUGCCUUGUUACACU